GGGUUGUGAGGUUAAGCGACUAAGCGUACACGGUGGAUGCCCUGGCAGUCAGAGGCGAUGAAGGACGUGCUAAUCUGCGAUAAGCGUCGGUAAGGUGAUAUGAACCGUUAUAACCGGCGAUUUCCGAAUGGGGAAACCCAGUGUGUUUCGACACACUAUCAUUAACUGAAUCCAUAGGUUAAUGAGGCGAACCGGGGGAACUGAAACAUCUAAGUACCCCGAGGAAAAGAAAUCAACCGAGAUUCCCCCAGUAGCGGCGAGCGAACGGGGAGCAGCCCAGAGCCUGAAUCAGUGUGUGUGUUAGUGGAAGCGUCUGGAAAGGCGCGCGAUACAGGGUGACAGCCCCGUACACAAAAAUGCACAUACUGUGAGCUCGAUGAGUAGGGCGGGACACGUGGUAUCCUGUCUGAAUAUGGGGGGACCAUCCUCCAAGGCUAAAUACUCCUGACUGACCGAUAGUGAACCAGUACCGUGAGGGAAAGGCGAAAAGAACCCCGGCGAGGGGAGUGAAAAAGAACCUGAAACCGUGUACGUACAAGCAGUGGGAGCACGCUUCGGCGUGUGACUGCGUACCUUUUGUAUAAUGGGUCAGCGACUUAUAUUCUGUAGCAAGGUUAACCGAAUAGGGGAGCCGAAGGGAAACCGAGUCUUAACUGGGCGUUAAGUUGCAGGGUAUAGACCCGAAACCCGGUGAUCUAGCCAUGGGCAGGUUGAAGGUUGGGUAACACUAACUGGAGGACCGAACCGACUAAUGUUGAAAAAUUAGCGGAUGACUUGUGGCUGGGGGUGAAAGGCCAAUCAAACCGGGAGAUAGCUGGUUCUCCCCGAAAGCUAUUUAGGUAGCGCCUCGUGAAUUCAUCUCCGGGGGUAGAGCACUGUUUCGGCAAGGGGGUCAUCCCGACUUACCAACCCGAUGCAAACUGCGAAUACCGGAGAAUGUUAUCACGGGAGACACACGGCGGGUGCUAACGUCCGUCGUGAAGAGGGAAACAACCCAGACCGCCAGCUAAGGUCCCAAAGUCAUGGUUAAGUGGGAAACGAUGUGGGAAGGCCCAGACAGCCAGGAUGUUGGCUUAGAAGCAGCCAUCAUUUAAAGAAAGCGUAAUAGCUCACUGGUCGAGUCGGCCUGCGCGGAAGAUGUAACGGGGCUAAACCAUGCACCGAAGCUGCGGCAGCGACACUAUGUGUUGUUGGGUAGGGGAGCGUUCUGUAAGCCUGUGAAGGUGUACUGUGAGGUAUGCUGGAGGUAUCAGAAGUGCGAAUGCUGACAUAAGUAACGAUAAAGCGGGUGAAAAGCCCGCUCGCCGGAAGACCAAGGGUUCCUGUCCAACGUUAAUCGGGGCAGGGUGAGUCGACCCCUAAGGCGAGGCCGAAAGGCGUAGUCGAUGGGAAACAGGUUAAUAUUCCUGUACUUGGUGUUACUGCGAAGGGGGACGGAGAAGGCUAUGUUGGCCGGGCGACGGUUGUCCCGGUUUAAGCGUGUAGGCUGGUUUUCCAGGCAAAUCCGGAAAAUCAAGGCUGAGGCGUGAUGACGAGGCACUACGGUGCUGAAGCAACAAAUGCCCUGCUUCCAGGAAAAGCCUCUAAGCAUCAGGUAACAUCAAAUCGUACCCCAAACCGACACAGGUGGUCAGGUAGAGAAUACCAAGGCGCUUGAGAGAACUCGGGUGAAGGAACUAGGCAAAAUGGUGCCGUAACUUCGGGAGAAGGCACGCUGAUAUGUAGGUGAAGUCCCUCGCGGAUGGAGCUGAAAUCAGUCGAAGAUACCAGCUGGCUGCAACUGUUUAUUAAAAACACAGCACUGUGCAAACACGAAAGUGGACGUAUACGGUGUGACGCCUGCCCGGUGCCGGAAGGUUAAUUGAUGGGGUUAGCGGUAACGCGAAGCUCUUGAUCGAAGCCCCGGUAAACGGCGGCCGUAACUAUAACGGUCCUAAGGUAGCGAAAUUCCUUGUCGGGUAAGUUCCGACCUGCACGAAUGGCGUAAUGAUGGCCAGGCUGUCUCCACCCGAGACUCAGUGAAAUUGAACUCGCUGUGAAGAUGCAGUGUACCCGCGGCAAGACGGAAAGACCCCGUGAACCUUUACUAUAGCUUGACACUGAACAUUGAGCCUUGAUGUGUAGGAUAGGUGGGAGGCUUUGAAGUGUGGACGCCAGUCUGCAUGGAGCCGACCUUGAAAUACCACCCUUUAAUGUUUGAUGUUCUAACGUUGACCCGUAAUCCGGGUUGCGGACAGUGUCUGGUGGGUAGUUUGACUGGGGCGGUCUCCUCCUAAAGAGUAACGGAGGAGCACGAAGGUUGGCUAAUCCUGGUCGGACAUCAGGAGGUUAGUGCAAUGGCAUAAGCCAGCUUGACUGCGAGCGUGACGGCGCGAGCAGGUGCGAAAGCAGGUCAUAGUGAUCCGGUGGUUCUGAAUGGAAGGGCCAUCGCUCAACGGAUAAAAGGUACUCCGGGGAUAACAGGCUGAUACCGCCCAAGAGUUCAUAUCGACGGCGGUGUUUGGCACCUCGAUGUCGGCUCAUCACAUCCUGGGGCUGAAGUAGGUCCCAAGGGUAUGGCUGUUCGCCAUUUAAAGUGGUACGCGAGCUGGGUUUAGAACGUCGUGAGACAGUUCGGUCCCUAUCUGCCGUGGGCGCUGGAGAACUGAGGGGGGCUGCUCCUAGUACGAGAGGACCGGAGUGGACGCAUCACUGGUGUUCGGGUUGUCAUGCCAAUGGCACUGCCCGGUAGCUAAAUGCGGAAGAGAUAAGUGCUGAAAGCAUCUAAGCACGAAACUUGCCCCGAGAUGAGUUCUCCCUGACUCCUUGAGAGUCCUGAAGGAACGUUGAAGACGACGACGUUGAUAGGCCGGGUGUGUAAGCGCAGCGAUGCGUUGAGCUAACCGGUACUAAUGAACCGUGAGGCUUAACCUUACAACGCCGAAGCUGUU
rnacentral:rRNA from 1 species